rnacentral:rRNA from 1 species
AGCAGUCGCCACGGGAAUACAGAGGGUGCAAGCGUUAAUCGGAAUUACUGGGCGUAAAGCGCGCGUAGGUGGUUUGUUAAGUUGGAUGUGAAAUCCCCGGGCUCAACCUGGGAACUGCAUCCAAAACUGGCAAGCUAGAGUAUGGUAGAGGGUGGUGGAAUUUCCUGUGUAGCGGUGAAAUGCGUAGAUAUAGGAAGGAACACCAGUGGCGAAGGCGACCACCUGGACUGAUACUGACACUGAGGUGCGAAAGCGUGGGGAGCAAACAGGAUUAGAUACCCCUGUAGUCCCUGUCUCUUAUAA